rnacentral:rRNA from 1 species
GAUGAACGCUGGCGGCGUGCCUAAUACAUGCAAGUCGAGCGAACAGACGAGGAGCUUGCUCCUCUGACGUUAGCGGCGGACGGGUGAGUAACACGUGGAUAACCUACCUAUAAGACUGGGAUAACUUCGGGAAACCGGAGCUAAUACCGGAUAAUAUAUUGAACCGCAUGGUUCAAUAGUGAAAGACGGUUUUGCUGUCACUUAUAGAUGGAUCCGCGCCGCAUUAGCUAGUUGGUAAGGUAACGGCUUACCAAGGCAACGAUGCGUAGCCGACCUGAGAGGGUGAUCGGCCACAAUGGAACUGAGACACGGUCCAGACUCCUACGGGAGGCAGCAGUAGGGAAUCUUCCGCAAUGGGCGAAAGCUUGACGGAGCAACGCCGCGUGAGUGAUGAAGGUCUUCGGAUCGUAAAACUCUGUUAUUAGGGAAGAACAAAUGUGUAAGUAACUAUGCACGUCUUGACGGUACCUAAGCAGAAAGCCACGGCUAACUACGU